rnacentral:rRNA from 1 species
UACGUAGGGUGCAAGCGUUAAUCGGAAUUACUGGGCGUAAAGCGUGCGCAGGCGGUGAUGUAAGACAGGUGUGAAAUCCCCGGGCUUAACCUGGGAACUGCAUUUGUGACUGCAUCGCUGGAGUGCGGCAGAGGGGGAUGGAAUUCCACGUGUAGCAGUGAAAUGCGUAGAGAUGUGGAGGAACACCGAUGGCGAAGGCAGCCCCCUGGGCUAACACUGACGCUCAUGCACGAAAGCGUGGGGAGCAAACAGG